UAAUUUUUUGACCCAAAUUUUUUUUAAAAGAUUUAUUUUAUUUGUAUGAGUACACUGUAGCUGUGUUCAGACACACCAGAAAAGGGCAUCAGAUCCACAUUACUGAUGGUUGUGAGCCACCAUGUGGUUGCUGGGAAUGGAACUCAGUCAGUGCUUUUUUUUUGUUAAAGAUUUAUUUACUUAUUAUAUGUAAGUACACAGUAGCUGUCUUCAGACACCCUAGAAGAGGGCAUCAGAUCUCAUUACGGAUGGUUGUAAGCCAUCAUGUGGUUGCUGGGAUUUGAACUCAUGACCUUCAGAAGAGUAGUCAGUGCUUUUAACUGCUGAGCCAUCUCUCCAGCCCUGACUCAAAAAAUUUUUAAAAGUAAAGAUAACUAGUUAUCAAGGAAACUGUCUGGGGCAUAAAAACAUAGCAGUUAAUAGUAGUUUAUCAAAUUUUUACUGUAUUUGAACUGAUUCAGGGAACUCUAAUGUUGUUUACUCCCUUUAAUGGAUUCUUACCUUAAUUAUAAAUAUCUAUUUUUAUUUUAAAUGAGCAUGAACUUGAAACAUAGCAAGGUGUGCCAAACUACUGGUUUUGAAGUCUCAUUAAAAAAAAAUUCUUUGAUGGGCCAAAUGUGGUACUUCACACCUAUAAUACUACAGGUUGAGGCAUUGUUAUCUUGAGAGCCUGGGCUACAUAGUGAUUUCCAAGCCAGCUGGAGCUAGAGUAGUAUAAGACUGUCUCAAAAACUGAUUCAGGGGCUGGAGAGAUGGCUCAGCAAUUAAGAGCAUUGGCUGUUCUUCUAGAGGACCUGGGUUCAAUGACCAGCAUUCACAUGGUGUCUCACAGACAUACAUAAACUAUACCUGUACACACAAAAAAAGCUGAUCUAAAUAUAUGAUAAACAUACUUUCUCACUGGGUGUUGUAUACGUGUAUAAGGGAAGGUGAGGCAAACAGAACAGGAGUUACAAGUUGUAGAGGAUUUUAAAAAAGAAACAACCACAAGUACACUCUACUCAUUAUUUACUGUACAAAGUUUCCAUUGCACUAUAAUUAAAGUAUUUCUCUUCUCUAAAAUCUAGAAAUCUAGAGCAGGGUGUGGUAGCACAAGCCUAUGAGUCUAUCACCUGGGAAUCUGAGUCCAGAGGAUUGCCUUAAAUUCAGAUCAGUUUAGCCUCCAUAGCAAGAUUUUGUCUCACAAAAAAAAAAAAAAACAAAACGAAAGAAGGAAGUUUAGCCAAUUGUUGUGGUACAUGCUUAAAUUCUGUCACUCAGGAAGCCAAGGCAGCAAGAUUACUGCAAAUCUGUAGCCACCUUGGCCCAUAAAGUGAAAAUUUGUCAUUUCCUUUUGUUCUUGAGUAUGUGCUUCCAGCACCUGGGAGGCUAGGAGGCUAAGGUGAAAGGAUCAGGAGUUUAAGGCUAGCCUAUCUC
rnacentral:lncRNA from 1 species